GCGCCCGUAGCUCAGGGGAUAGAGUGAUGGCCUCCGAAGCCAUAGGUCGCGCGUUCGAUUCGCGCCGGGCGCGCCA
rnacentral:tRNA from 1 species